rnacentral:antisense_RNA from 1 species
CUUCAGCGAACCGAGCCACAGCGGCUGCUCCGCCGGACGCUGCCCAUAAGUGGCCAGCAGUGCCUGCGCCUC